UACGUAGGGUGCAAGCGUUAAUCGGAAUCACUGGGCGUAAAGCGCACGUAGGCGGGUCUUUAAGUCAGGGGUGAAAUCCUGGAGCUCAACUCCAGAACUGCCUUUGAUACUGAGGAUCUCGAGUCCGGGAGAGGUGAGUGGAACUCCGAGUGUAGAGGUGAAAUUCGUAGAUAUUCGGAAGAACACCAGUGGCGAAGGCGGCUCACUGGCCCGGUACUGACGCUGAGGUGCGAAAGCGUGGGGAGCAAACAGG
rnacentral:rRNA from 1 species